UACCAGCACCCCGAGUGGUCGGGACGAUUAUUGGGCCUAAAGCAUCCGUAGCCGGCCUUACAAGUCCCCCGUUAAAUCCAACUGCUUAACAGAUGGGCUGCGGAGGAUACUAUAAGACUAGGAGGCAGGAGAGGCAAGCGGUACUCAGUGGGUAGGGGUAAAAUCCGUUGAUCCAUUGAAGACCACCAGUGGCGAAGGCGGCUUGCCAGAAUGCGCUCGACGGUGAGGGAUGAAAGCUGGGGAGCAACC
rnacentral:rRNA from 1 species